ACUGCUGUUUUUUUCCCCAGAAUACUGAUGGCCCGAAGAGGUGCAGUCGAAGUACUGUAUAAAUACUGGUUGUACAGUUGUACAUGGACACCUUUGCUGAAGUGGCUAAGGACCAGAGCUAGCUAUUUCCUUCUCAAAACCUAUAUAUAUAUAUCACAUGAUUUUAGAAGAUUCCCUAUUUGGAGCCUGCAUGGUUUGUGAAGAAAACGUGGAUUUAAGGCACGUAUGCUUGAUUAAGGUGUCUAACAGAACAUGAUUGAUGGCAUCAGGCUGUCUCUAAUGGAUAUAUUUGUCUGCAUUACAAAAGAACUUCCUGCAGUCUGGACUUUUGCGUCAGAGAGGUUCAGGAUUUGGAAGGUACAGUUUUGCAGCCCAGAAUGAAAACAUGCUGGUAGACCUAUACAGAAUAUGUUUGUAUUCUAUUGUGUUUAUAAUAACCAGAGUGACAUCUAUGUUUUCAGGGACUGCUUGAAUGAAAUAAAGAAUGAAAUGGUAGGGGCUUGGUAUGGUCUCUGCUGCUGGGGAAGGCUAAAGAGAAAUUUGAAUCAUCUCUGUACCCUUCUGAUUUCAGGCUUUGUGAUAGAAAACAAGCAUUUUUUUGUGUGUUGGAUACCAAAUAGCAUGCACUGAGAUUGAAGUCCAAAUUAGGUUUCUUCCAAGUUUAAUCAGUUUUAUAUAUGUGGUAACAUACACACUUCUAAUAGCUGUCAUUUUCCAUCAAGAAUUUUCUGGUUGUCGGUGCUUCAAGAUGCAUGUAACACCUCCCUGCUUGCUGCUUCGCUAAUAGCACCAUGUGAUCAGCUCAUGCACUAUUUCCUCAAAUCCCAUUUCCCUGGCCUGCACCUCCUGUUGCAGUUCUGCACAUCUAUUUCUUCUGCAGAGGCAUUCACUUGUCUUCUGAUGGGCUACAAACCUCGUAGUCAUUAGUCUAUUGUCUAAUCAAUUGUCAGUCACAUCUGCAAGUUUCUUUCCGCCAUCCCUCAUCACAGCUGUUGAAGACAGGUUGCUGGGCUGGAUGGACAAAUAUGCAUGCCCAGUAGGGUAUUUCUUAUGCUUGUGCAUCAGUUACACUGUUUAUACAACACAGCUCUAGCUUGCCUAACGGGUUAUAAAGGAGACCGCAAGGAGGUCAGAAGUACACAUUGCUGAUGAAAUGAGUCAUGAAUUUUCUAAACACAUCAUGUUUUCCUCAAAUAAGUUUCUAUUCCACUGCAAGCCUCCUUAUAAUCCGAGUUUUCCCCUAUAAGUAAAUAUAUGAACGUUCUGCCAUAUGGUGUCUGCAAGCAUUAGCAUGUAAUAAAUUACUGAAACCAUAUAAAAUGCUCUCAAAUGUGAUCAGUUAGAGUUUAGCCAAUUUCACUGAAUUCUACAAGUUAACAGGACCACAAGUUUACUUGUUCAUAUGGUACUGGAAGCUGGAGCAGAGGGAUUAAAAAUAAAUUUCCAGAUUUGUGCUGUAUUACAACUGUAAUGACUGCAAGAGUCUGAAUGUGAUAGGAACAAAAAAUGAAAGUGGAAUUUGCCCCAAAAUAUUGGGGG